rnacentral:rRNA from 1 species
GAUGAACGCUGGCGGCGUGCCUAAUACAUGCAAGUCGAGCGAACAGAUGAGGAGCUUGCUCCUCUGACGUUAGCGGCGGACGGGUGAGUAACACGUGGAUAACCUACCUAUAAGACUGGGAUAACUUCGGGAAACCGGAGCUAAUACCGGAUAAUAUAUUGAACCGCAUGGUUCAAUAGUGAAAGACGGUUUUGCUGUCACUUAUAGAUGGAUCCGCGCCGCAUUAGCUAGUUGGUAAGGUAACGGCUUACCAAGGCAACGAUGCGUAGCCGACCUGAGAGGGGGGUCGGCCACACUGGAACUGAGACACGGUCCAGGCUCCUACGGGAGGCAGCAGUAGGGAAUCUUCCGCAAUGGGCGAAAGCCUGACGGAGCAACGCCGCGUGAGUGAUGAAGGUCUUCGGAUCGUAAAACUCUGUUAUUAGGGAAGAACAAAUGUGUAAGUAACUAUGCACGUCUUGACGGUACCUAAUCAGAAAGCCACGGCUAACUACGUG